rnacentral:rRNA from 1 species
AUUUGACUCAACACGGGAAAUCUUACCGGGUCCGGACGUAUCGAGGAUUGACAGAUAGUUAUACAUGCCCUACAAGCAAGUAGGAGUCAGGUUUUAAACCUAAUGGCUCUUUCAUGAUUAUAUGAUAGGUGGUGCAUGGCCGUUCUUAGUUCGUGGAGUGAUCUGUCUGCUUAAUUGCGUUUCAAAUUUUUAACCGAGGACCGGGUUUUGGUUUGGCUAGUGGUCCUACGAUGACUGUGAACUGUCAUGUCUUCGGAUGUACGACUAUCGGUCUAGGAUCACAUGACUUGCCCCUGGGACUCUUUUGAACGCAACGGACGUGAUUGCAACCCCUUGUUGAGAUUAGAGAUAGUCUCGAUAUUCACUGGCCAAACUGGCUGCUUUAUGCAGUCUUGUUGAAUGGUGGAUAAACUCGGGGGACUGCUGACUAUAACCAUUUCUCAAAACAGAGGAAGGUUGCGGCAAUAACAGGUCU